GGCGGCCAACAUGAAAGGAGGUGGCCAACAUGAUAACGAGGCGGCCAGGCAGAAACGCGGAUGGAAAGAAAAACCAGGAUGCGAAAACGAAAGAGAAAUGAAGGAACUGCGAUGGUGAGGAAGGUGACAGCUACCUCGGCGACGGUGAGGAAGGUGACGGCAACCUCAGCGACGGUGGCAGCGCCGACAAUGGCGGCAGUGACAUCAACGAUGGCAAAAAAGACAUCAUCACAGGUUUGUAUUUUAAUCGUUUUAUGUUUCUUUCAAAAAAACCUACAUUUUUUAAAUAAAAAGUUAUUGUUUGAUGAUGAUAAAGAGCAAGAAGGAAAGACACCUUAAUGUUUCAUUUUUGUUGUUUAUUACUGCAACUCUCUGAUUUCUUCCCCUUCCCCUUCUCUGUAUGUUUUUUAUUAGUGGUGUUCAAUUUUUUUCCUCUCCUUUUUGAAAUUUCAUAAGGUGUUUUUAUAGAGUUUUUUAUAUGUUUAGUUGUUUUCUGGUCUGUCUUGGUCCUUCUCUAUCUAUUUCCUGUUUGAUGUUUUGAUUGCUUUGCUCAUCAUCUUCAUUUUUAUGCACCUUUGAUGCCUUCAUAAUUUUAGAUUAUCUGUUCUGAUCAUGUUCAUUGUUGAGCUUUUAUUUGUCUUUUAGUUAUUUUUUUAAACUCAAAAAUUUGUCAUUUAGUUCUGCAUAAUGUGUACAAAUACUGACUUAUAAAUUAUGUUUUUAUGUUUCUCUAAUUAGUAACAAAGCAAAGAUCAAUGACAUUGCAUCUGAAACAGAAAGGCAACAACAAAGCAGAGCCAAACACUGCAUCAAAAACAGAGAGGCAACAACAGCAAGAAAUUAAAAAUUAUUGUAAUUUAAUUUAGUUUGGUUUAAAUCUUAUUGUAAUUUAAUUUGAUUUAAUAUUUAU
rnacentral:lncRNA from 1 species